rnacentral:rRNA from 1 species
UACGUAGGGUGCAAGCGUUAAUCGGAAUUACUGGGCGUAAAGCGUGCGCAGGCGGUUAUGCAAGACAGAUGUGAAAUCCCCGGGCUCAACCUGGGAACUGCAUUUGUGACUGCAUAGCUAGAGUGCGGCAGAGGGAGAUGGAAUUCCGCGUGUAGCAGUGAAAUGCGUAGAUAUGCGGAGGAACACCGAUGGCGAAGGCAAUCUCCUGGGCCUGCACUGACGCUCAUGCGCGAAAGCGUGGGGAGCAAACAGG